ensembl:lncRNA
AGUUAAUGUGCUAUCAUCAUUGAUAACCCUUAGGAGGGACAACAAGGGCUUCUCAAUAGUGUGCUUCUCUUCAUCAAGCUGGAGGAAGGGGUCUUCACCAUUACUUAGAGUACGUAAUUCAACCACUAGUUAAAAGUAAUGGUGUCCUCAGAUCUUAGAUCUGAAUCAUCUUCUUUAAAUGGUUCUUUAAUUCAUGGCCAAAGAAUGUCUUUCCAUAUACUCUCAGAGAGAUAGUCCUUCUUUGAGAGAAAGAUAUAAAAUUUAAUUCUAGGUCUUCUUUAACUCUGAAACUAUGUUGCCUGAAGCAACUCAUGUGCUGCCAUCAGAUUUUAUUAGGUGGGCUAAAGCAGAUUCAGAAGGAGAUUUCCUUACAUAAUGGCUGUCCCCAUGGAACCUUCAGGUAGUCAGUUAAAACUGUCUAAUGAAGAAUUUUCAAGAUCCAUAAGUACAGGAAAAAUCUUGAUGGUCUCUCUCCCUUACUGAUUCAUUGAUAGUUCUCAAACAUUGGGCUGGCACAACGAGAGUAAAAUAGUACAUUUCGCACAGUGUAAAGUGGUGGGUGUGGAUGUUUUCGGAGCCAGUCAGUCUCUGGCAGCUGACUGAGUCACACUCCUGCUUUGUUGCCCACUUACAUCUUCAGAGAGCAGCCUGGGUGGGGAUACUCAUCAAAAUGUGCUCAUUUAAGGACAAACCCAUUUGAACAUUACAACAUUUGGCAAACUUCCUCUACCGAAUGGUGAACCUGGCCCACUGCCUCUGAGAUGCUUCCGUUGCUUGGCUGGGAAACAUAGACCCUUUAACGUCCUUCAUGUGGUAGAACACAUUCAAGACCUUCCAACUAAACACCUGUCUAAGAGCCCUGAGUGUUUUACCUGUUCCUCAAACAUUAUCAAGAUCUUGGCCUGGACCAGUGGGUUACGGAUGUGCAGUGAGUCCUUUUGCAAUAUACAACUAUUUUUAAUCAUGACUGGAGAAUCCCGACGUCUUACUGAGUUCUAGUGGUCACAUGUUUCAUCAAGAAGUCAGCAAACAUCUACUGAACAAGUUCAAUGUGGAGAAUUCUGUACCAUACUUAAGGAAAUGCUCCCACUCCCUUAAGAUGUUUAUAAUCUUAUUGAGAAUGAGGGAACAACAAAAACCAUAGAGGCAAAACUGUGUGACUGCAAAACUGCUUCUAGAUCAACACAAAAGUUCUGUGGAAAAUGCCAUAAUAAGUGAGAUGAUUCUAAUCAGAGGCAUUGCUGGAUGUUCGUUGCACUGUCUUGGUCAAAGGAAGAGAAGCCACUGUGGAUCUAUGCAAACCCCCAGGGGGACAGACAGUCUGGGGACACAAAGACAACAUGGUACAAUACAAAACGAAUUGGACCAGAAUCAGGAAACCGAAGUGGACAAGAUCCUUAACUGUCCUGUGGAGCACAGGACCGGCUCCUCACGCCCUGCCCACCUGGCUUCUGAGCAAACACAGCCCAGGCUGACUUUUUCAUAGCAAAUGGAGACCCUGGCAGAUUUCAGAUCCAGAGUUCGAGAUUGUCUCAUUAGAUACUUCAUCUGAGAUCACUGAACGACUACUGAUUCUUAACUUUAUGGAGAAAGAAGGCAAUCCCACAUAAAAGAAGCAAUGUCAGUAUGCAUGUUCAGAGAAGAGACAAUGAAGAUGAGUGUGAAAGCAGCACCGCCCACAAACCGGUGAGCUGAGCCAGAGCACGGCCGCAGCCUCCCGGCGCUCAGUCACAGAGCACCACUCAUGAAGAGUCUGCAUUUCUCUACUGACCUUAUUUUUAAAUUGCACUGAAUACAAAC